rnacentral:rRNA from 1 species
UACGUAGGGUGCGAGCGUUGUCCGGAAUUAUUGGGCGUAAAGGGCUCGUAGGCGGUUUGUCGCGCCGGGAGUGAAAACCUCGGGCUUAACUCGGGGCUUGCUUUCGAUACGGGCAGACUGGAGGUAUGCAGGGGAGAACGGAAUUCCUGGUGUAGCGGUGAAAUGCGCAGAUAUCAGGAGGAACACCGGUGGCGAAGGCGGUUCUCUGGGCAUGACCUGACGCUGAGGAGCGAAAGUGUGGGGAGCGAACAGG